GAUCAACGCUGGCGGCGCACAUAAGACAUGCAAGUUGAACGGACUUAAUCGAAAUAUUUAUAUUUUGAAGCGGUUAGUGGCGGACUGGUGAGUAACGCGUAAGGAACCUGCCUAUUAGAGGGGAAUAACAGUGAGAAAUCAUUGCUAAUACCGCAUAUGCCAUAGAUAUCACAUGAUAACAGUGGGAAAGGAGCAAUCCGCUAAUAGAUGGCCUUGCGUCUGAUUAGAUAGUUGGUGGGGUAUCGGCCUACCAAGUCGACGAUCAGUAGCCGGACUGAGAGGUUGAACGGCCACAUUGGGACUGAGAUACGGCCCAGACUCCUACGGGAGGCAGCAGUCGGGAAUAUUGCGCAAUGGAGGAAACUCUGACGCAGUGACGCCGCGUAUAGGAAGAAGGUUUUCGGAUUGUAAACUAUUGUCGUUAGGGAAGAGAAAGGACAGUACCUAAGGAGGAAGCUCCGGCUAACUACGUG
rnacentral:rRNA from 1 species